rnacentral:rRNA from 1 species
GACGAACGCUGGCGGCGUGCCUAAUACAUGCAAGUUGAGCGCUGAAGGUUGGUACUUGUACCGACUGGAUGAGCAGCGAACGGGUGAGUAACGCGUGGGGAAUCUGCCUUUGAGCGGGGGACAACUUCUGGAAACGAAUGCUAAUACCGCAUAAAAACUUUAAACACAAGUUUUAAGUUUGAAAGAUGCAAUUGCAUCACCCAAUGAUGAUCCCGCGUUGUAUUAGCUAGUUGGUGAGGUAAAGGCUCACCAAGGCGAUGAUACAUAGCCGACCUGAGAGGGUGAUCGGCCACAAUGGGACUGAGACACGGCCCAAGCUCCUACGGGAGGCAGCAGUAGGGAAUCUUCGGCAAUGGACGAAAGUCUGACCGAGCAACGCCGCGUGAGUGAAGAAGGUUUUCGGAUCGGAAAACUCUGUUGGUAGGGAAGAACGUUGGUGGGAGUGGAAAGCUCAUCAAGUGACGGUAACUACCCAGAAAGGGACGGCUAACUACGUG